GUUUAAUAUUGCCAUUUUUUUUUUAUUUUAUAUUUACAAAAGCUCAACAGAUCAGGCAUGGAGUUAUGGAGCUGGUGACUUUAUUUUGUAGGGAUCUUAGGUCUAAAGCAAAUACAUGUACUACAUACUUUUUUUUUUGUUCUUGUGAUACAAGUUUAAUUCUCAAGAAAUUGAUUGUUUAGGUAAUGCAUAUGGGGAAAAAAAGUUUUAAAAAAAAACGCAAAAUAAUAAAUAAAAAAAAAACAUAAUACACAGUUCUAACUAAUUAUUCAGUCAUCUUAAAACAAAUAAGAAACAAAAAUUUCUUUUCAAAACUAAAUAGUAAAAAAACAAAAGGGGGGG